CCUACGGGUGGCAGCAGUGAGGAAUAUUGGUCAAUGGGCGCGAGCCUGAACCAGCCAAGUCGCGUGAAGGAAGACGGCCCUACGGGUUGUAAACUUCUUUUAUAGGGGAAUAAAGUGAGCCACGUGUGGCUUUUUGCAUGUACUUUAUGAAUAAGGAUCGGCUAACUACGUUCCAGCAGCCGCGGUAAUUAGGAGGAUCCGAGCGUUAUCCGGAUUUCUUGGGUUUAAAGGGAGCGUAGGGGGGUUUUUAAGUCAGUUGGUAAAGUUUGAGGAUCAACCGUAAAAUUGCAAUUGAUACUGGCAGUCUUGAGUGUAGGUGAGGGAGGCGGAAUUCGUGGUGUAGCGGUGAAAUGCGUAGAUAACACGAAGAAACCCGAUGGCGAAGGCAGCUUAACAAA
rnacentral:rRNA from 1 species